GGCAGCCCAGCUGAAAACCAGCCAGGGUGGAGAAACGGGAGAAGCUUUUUCUUCAAAUGAGGUUGGAAACUAUCACUAUUAAACAGAACCCUCUGCCUUCUAUUUGGGAAGAAGACAAAUGCCAGUUUUGAUUGGGAAGAGAGAUUGGAAGUAGUCUGCGGAAGCCUUAAUUUAUGGCAGUGGGAAUGUGUAGAUGGAUCUGCAUAUAAAACACACACAGAAGUAGAGACAUUUGGAGGCAUAUUGCAUCAAAUAAUGUGUAAAUCAAAUAUGGAAUUUUUAUAUGCGUCUAAAAAUUAAACACUUCCUGAAAUCAUCUGUCUUCAGAAUGAAAAAGUUAUAAUAAGGAACACACCC